UCCUGCAGCUCCAGCAACCUCUCCUCUUGC
rnacentral:piRNA from 1 species